UGGGGAAUAUUGCACAAUGGGCGAAAGCCUGAUGCAGCGACGCCGCGUGAGGGAUGACGGCCUUCGGGUUGUAAACCUCUUUCAGCAGGGAAGAAGCGAAAGUGACGGUACCUGCAGAAGAAGCGCCGGCUAACUACGUGCCAGCAGCCGCGGUAAUACGUAGGGCGCAAGCGUUGUCCGGAAUUAUUGGGCGUAAAGAGCUCGUAGGCGGUUAGUCGCGUCUGCUGUGAAAACUCGAGGCUCAACCUCGGGCUUGCAGUGGGUACGGGCUGACUAGAGUGCGGUAGGGGUGACUGGAAUUCCUGGUGUAGCGGUGGAAUGCGCAGAUAUCAGGAGGAACACCGAUGGCGAAGGCAGGUCACUGGGCCGCAACUGACGCUGAGGAGCGAAAGCAUGGGGAGCGAACAGGAUUAGAUAGCCCUGGUAGUCCAUGCCGUAAACGUUGGGCACUAGGUGU
rnacentral:rRNA from 1 species